rnacentral:rRNA from 1 species
UACGUAGGGGGCAAGCGUUGUCCGGAUUUAUUGGGCGUAAAGAGCGUGUAGGCGGCCAGACAGGUCCGUUGUGAAAACUCGAGGCUCAACCUCGAGAUGUCGAUGGAAACCGUCUGGCUAGAGUCCGGAAGAGGAGUGUGGAAUUCCUGGUGUAGCGGUGAAAUGCGCAGAUAUCAGGAAGAACACCUAUGGCGAAGGCAGCACUCUGGGACGGUACUGACGCUGAGACGCGAAAAGCGUGGGGAGCAAACAGG